UACGGAGGGUGCGAGCGUUGUCCGGAAUCAUUGGGCGUAAAGCGCGCGUAGGCGGCCCGAUAAGUCCGCUGUGAAAGUCAACGGCUCAACUGUUGGAUGCCGGUGGAUACUGUCGGGCUAGAGUACGGAAGAGGCGAGUGGAAUUCCUGGUGUAGCGGUGAAAUGCGCAGAUAUCAGGAGGAACACCAAUGGCGAAGGCAGCUCGCUGGGACGGUACUGACGCUGAGACGCGAAAGCGUGGGGAGCAAACAGG
rnacentral:rRNA from 1 species